rnacentral:rRNA from 1 species
AUUGAACGCUGGCGGCAGGCCUAACAAAUGCAAGUCGAGCGGAGCGGCGGACGGGAGAGUAAUGCCUAGGAAUCUGCCUGGUAGUGGGGGAUAACGUCAGGAAACGGGCGCUAAUACCGCAUACUAUCAGAUGAGACUAGGUCGGAUUAGCUAGUUGGUGGGGUAAAGGCCUACCAGGGCGACGAUCCGUAACUGGUCUGAGAGGAUGAUCAGUCCAACUGGAAAUGAGACACGGUCCAGACCCCUACUGGAUGCAGCAGUGGGUAAUAUUGGACAAUGGGCGAAAUCCUGAUCCAGCCAUGCCGCGUGUGUGAAUAAGGUCUUCGGAUUGUAAAGCACUUUAAGUUGGGAGGCGUUACCAACAGAAUAAGCACCGGCUAACUUCGUGCCAGCCGCCGCGGUAAUAC